rnacentral:misc_RNA from 1 species
UGAUACAAUGUAAUCUACCAGUGUGGUUUCUUCCUCUCCCAAAAACUCAGUAAUCUUCUUCGAAAUCCAUGGUCUCAUUCUCUCAUGAAGCUCAUGUUUGUCAUACACAGCCCAAUUUAUCUCGUAUGAGAAUAGCUCAUCCUUGGUCUUUGGAAUCAUAUCAAUCAACUGCUUUGCAUCCAAAAGUUUCUGCUUGUCUGGUGUUUUCACUUUGUCCAACCCAUGUUCCCGGUUCCUGUCCUGUUCAAGAAUCUUAUCCUUCUCAUCUUUCAUACGAUUAAUAUCUUCAUCAUUCCUGUCUCUCUCUCGCUGACUUGACCUGUCAUGAGAACGUCUACUUCUUUCUCUUUC